rnacentral:rRNA from 1 species
GACGUAGGUGGCGAACGUUAUCCGGAAUCAUUGGGCGUAAAGGGUGCGUAGAUGGCAUGAUAAGUUAUUAGUGGGAAAUCGAGGCUCAACCUCGUGGAAGCUGGUAAUACUGUUUUGCUUGAGUGCAGGAGAGGUUAACGGAACUCCAUGUGGAGCGGUAAAAUGCGUAGAUAUAUAGAAGAACACCAAUAACGGCGAAGGCAGUUAACUAUUCUGUUCCUGACAUUGAGGCACGAAAGCGUGGGGAGCAAAACGG